rnacentral:rRNA from 1 species
UACGGAGGGUGCGAGCGUUGUCCGGAAUCACUGGGCGUAAAGAGCGUGUAGGCGGCCAGGUAGGUCGGUUGUGAAAACUGGAGGCUCAACCUUCAGAGGUCGACCGAAACCAUCUGGCUAGAGUCCGGGAGAGGAGAGUGGAAUUCCUGGUGUAGCGGUGAAAUGCGCAGAUAUCAGGAAGAACACCCGUGGCGAAAGCGGCUCUCUGGAACGGUACUGACGCUGAGACGCGAAAGCGUGGGGAGCGAACAGG